UACGUAGGUGGCAAGCGUUGUCCGGAUUUACUGGGCGUAAAGGAUGCGUAGGCGGAUACUUAAGUCAGAUGUGAAAUUCCCGAGCUUAACUUGGGAACUGCAUUUGAAACUGGGUAUCUAGAGUGUGGGAGAGGAAAGUGGAAUUCCUAGUGUAGCGGUGAAAUGCGUAGAGAUUAGGAAGAACACCAGUGGCGAAGGCGACUUUCUGGACCAUAACUGACGCUGAGGCAUGAAAGCGUGGGGAGCAAACAGG
rnacentral:rRNA from 1 species